GCGCACUAAGAGAGGCAAAAUGGCAGUUAAACUGGUUUCCGACUUUCCUCUGGAACGCUCGACUGCUUAAGAGAAAAAUGCCUCAAAUGAGCAUGUGCACAACUCCAGCAAACACGCUGGACAUGCGGCCUCUCCCAAGUGCUGGCAGGCCACUGCACAUGUGGACCCACGGGAAGAAUCAGGAGAGAAGAAAUGCAAACCCCAGAGUCAUGCCAAGAGAUGGGGUUCUGCCAUGUUCCCCAAGCUGGUCUUGACUCCUGGGCUCGACUGAUCUACAGGCCUUGGCCUCCCAAAUUACAAGGAUUAUAGGCAUGAGCCACUGCACCCAGCCUGUUAAUAAUUUUUAAAGAAAUUGAAAUAAUAAAAAACUUACAUACAUAAGUAUACAUAAAUAUACCAACGUGUUUGCCAUUUCUGGUGCUCAUUUUUGUGUGUGUGUGUAGCUC
rnacentral:lncRNA from 1 species